GACGAACGCUGGCGGCGUGCCUAAUACAUGCAAGUUGAGCGCUGAAGGUUGGUACUUGUACCAACUGGAUGAGCAGCGAACGGGUGAGUAACGCGUGGGGAAUCUGCCUUUUAGCGGGGGACAACAUUUGGAAACGAAUGCUAAUACCGCAUAAAAACUUUAAACACAAGUUUUAAGUUUGAAAGAUGCAAUUGCAUCACUCAAAGAUGAUCCCGCGUUGUAUUAGCUAGUUGGUGAGGUAAAGGCUCACCAAGGCGAUGAUACAUAGCCGACCUGAGAGGGUGGUCGGCCAAAAUGGGACUGAGACACGGCCCAAAAUCCCACGGGAGGCAGCAGUAGGGAAUCUUCGGAAAUGGACGAAAGUCUGAACGAGCACAGCCGCGUGAGUGAAGAAGGUUUUCGGAUCGUAAAACUCUGUUGGUAGAGAAGAAAGUUGGUGAGAGUGGAAAGCUCAUCAAGUGACGGUAACUAACCAGAAAGGAACGGCUAACUACGUG
rnacentral:rRNA from 1 species